rnacentral:rRNA from 1 species
AUUGAACGCUGGCGGCAGGCCUAACACAUGCAAGUCGAGCGGAGCGGCUGACGGGUGAGUAAUGCCUAGGAAUCUGCCUGGUAGUGGGGGAUAACGUCCGGCAACGGGCGCUAAUACCGCAUACUAUCAGAUGAGCCUAGGUCGUAUUAGCUAGGUGGUGGGGUAAAGGCCUACCAAGGCGACGAUCAGUAACUGGUCUGAGAGGAGGAUCAGUCACACUGGAACUGAGACACGGGCCAGACUCCUACGGGAGGCAGCAGUGGGGAAUAUGGGACAAUGGGGGAAAGACUGAUCCAGACAUGCCGCGUGUGUGAAGAAGGUCUUCGGAUUGUAAAGCACUUUAAGUGGGGAGGAGGGAAAAAAAGAAGAAGCACCGGCUAACUUCGUGCCAGCAGCCGCGGUAAUUG